AUAGCUUCAUUGACUGCUCUCAGACCAUCUGUCCUCUCUGUCCAAAACACUGGUGGAAUCAAAGGAAUGUUCAAGGUCUGUGUUCUCCUGUAGUUUAUUCUCUCCUAUAUAAAGGUCUGUGUUCUCCUGUAGUUUAUUCUCUCCUAUAUAAAGGUCUGUGUUCUCCUGUAGUUUAUUCUCUCCUAUGUAAAGGUCUGUGUUCUCCUGUAGUUAAUUCUCGCCUAUAUAAAGGUCUGUGUUCUCCUGUAGUUUAUUCUCGCCUAUAUAAAGGUCUGUGUUCUCCUGUAGUUUAUUCUCUCCUAUAUAAAGGUCUGUGUUCUCCUGUAGUUUAUUCUCUCCUAUAUAAAGGUCUGUGUUCUCCUGUAGUUUAUUCUCUCCUAUAUAAAGGUCUGUGUUCUCCUGUAGUUUAUUCUCUCCUAUAUAAAGGUCUGUGUUCUCCUGUAGUUUAUUCUCUCCUAUAUAAAGGUCUGUGUUCUCCUGUAGUUUAUUCUCCUAUGUAAAGGUCUGUGUUCUCCUGUAGUUUAUUCUCUCCUAUAUAAAGGUGUGUGUUCUCCUGUAGUUUAUUCUCCUAUAUAAACGUCUGUGUUCUCCUGUAGUUUAUUCUCCUAUAUAAAGGUCUGUGUUCUCCUGUAGUUUAUUCUCCUAUAUAAACGUCUGUGUUCUCCUGUAGUUUAUUCUCCUAUAUAAAGGUCUGUGUUCUCCUGUAGUUUAUUCUCCUAUAUACAUGUCUGUGUUCUCCUGUAGUUUAUUCUCUUCUAUAUAAAGGUCUGUGUUCUCCUGUAGUUUAUUCUCUCCUGUAUAAAGGUCUGUGUUUUUCUGUAGUUUAU